rnacentral:tRNA from 1 species
UGGUUCAGUGAUAGAAUUCCAGCCUUCCAAGUGGGAGAUCCAGGUUCUAUUCCUGG